CUGACGAACCAUGAUGUUCAUUUAUUUGGUGUUGUGGGGAAUCAGGACUGUUACUUUGAAAAAAUUAGAGUCGUUUAAAGCAGGCUCACGCUUGAAUACAUUAGCAUGGAAUAAUGAAAUAGGACGUUUGAUUCUAUUUUGUUGGUUUCUAGGAUCGACGUAAUGAUUAAUAGGGAUAGUUGGGGGCAUUAGUAUUCAAUUGUCAGAGGUGAAAUUCUUGGAUUUAUUGAAGACUAACUACUGCGAAAGCAUUUGCCAAGGAUGUUUUCAUUAAUCAAGAACGAAAGUUAGGGGAUCGAAGACGAUCAGAUACCGUCGUAGUCUUAACCAUAAACUAUGCCGACUAGGGAUCGGAUGAUGUUAAUUUUUUAAUGACUCAUUCGGCGCCUUACG
rnacentral:rRNA from 1 species